AGAGCAAGAGGACUCAUCCUUCCAAAGGGACUUUCUCUGGGAAGCCUGCUCCUCGGGCCACUGCGAACCCUCUCUACUCUCCGAAGGGAAUUGUCCUUCCUGGCUUCCACUACUUCCACCCCUGAAUGCACAGGCAGCCCGGCCCAAGUCUCCCACUAGGGAUGCAGAUGGAUUCGGUGUGAAGGGCUGGCUGCUGUUGCCUCCGGCUCUUGAAAGUCAAGUUCAGAGGCGUGCAAAGACUCCAGAAUUGGAGGCAUGAUGAAGACUCUGCUGCUGUUUGUGGGGCUGCUGCUGACCUGGGAGAGUGGGCAGGUCCUGGGGGACCAGACGGUCUCAGACAAUGAGCUCCAGGAAAUGUCCAAUCAGGGAAGUAAGUACGUCAAUAAGGAAAUUCAAAAUGCUGUCAACGGGGUGAAACAGAUAAAGACUCUCAUAGAAAAAACAAACGAAGAGCGCAAGACACUGCUCAGCAACCUAGAAGAAGCCAAGAAGAAGAAAGAGGAUGCCCUAAAUGAGACCAGGGAAUCAGAGACAAAGCUGAAGGAGCUCCCAGGAGUGUGCAAUGAGACCAUGAUGGCCCUCUGGGAAGAGUGUAAGCCCUGCCUGAAACAGACCUGCAUGAAGUUCUACGCACGCGUCUGCAGAAGUGGCUCAGGCCUGGUUGGCCGCCAGCUUGAGGAGUUCCUGAACCAGAGCUCGCCCUUCUACUUCUGGAUGAAUGGUGACCGCAUCGACUCCCUGCUGGAGAACGACCGGCAGCAGACGCACAUGCUGGAUGUCAUGCAGGACCACUUCAGCCGCGCGUCCAGCAUCAUAGACGAGCUCUUCCAGGACAGGUUCUUCACCCGGGAGCCCCAGGAUACCUACCACUACCUGCCCUUCAGCCUGCCCCACCGGAGGCCUCACUUCUUCUUUCCCAAGUCCCGCAUCGUCCGCAGCUUGAUGCCCUUCUCUCCGUACGAGCCCCUGAACUUCCACGCCAUGUUCCAGCCCUUCCUUGAGAUGAUACACGAGGCUCAGCAGGCCAUGGACAUCCACUUCCAUAGCCCGGCCUUCCAGCACCCGCCAACAGAAUUCAUACGAGAAGGCGACGAUGACCGGACUGUGUGCCGGGAGAUCCGCCACAACUCCACGGGCUGCCUGCGGAUGAAGGACCAGUGUGACAAGUGCCGGGAGAUCUUGUCUGUGGACUGUUCCACCAACAACCCCUCCCAGGCUAAGCUGCGGCGGGAGCUCGACGAAUCCCUCCAGGUCGCUGAGAGGUUGACCAGGAAAUACAACGAGCUGCUAAAGUCCUACCAGUGGAAGAUGCUCAACACCUCCUCCUUGCUGGAGCAGCUGAACGAGCAGUUUAACUGGGUGUCCCGGCUGGCAAACCUCACGCAAGGCGAAGACCAGUACUAUCUGCGGGUCACCACGGUGGCUUCCCACACUUCUGACUCGGACGUUCCUUCCGGUGUCACUGAGGUGGUCGUGAAGCUCUUUGACUCUGAUCCCAUCACUGUGACGGUCCCUGUAGAAGUCUCCAGGAAGAACCCUAAAUUUAUGGAGACCGUGGCGGAGAAAGCGCUGCAGGAAUACCGCAAAAAGCACCGGGAGGAGUGAGAUGUGGAUGUUGCUUUUGCACCUACGGGGGCAUCUGAGUCCAGCUCCCCCCAAGAUGAGCUGCAGCCCCCCAGAGAGAGCUCUGCACGUCACCAAGUAACCAGGCCCCAGCCUCCAGGCCCCCAACUCCGCCCAGCCUCUCCCCGCUCUGGAUCCUGCACUCUAACACUCGACUCUGCUGCUCAUGGGAAGAACAGAAUUGCUCCUGCAUGCAACUAAUUCAAUAAAACUGUCUUGUGAGCUGAUCGCUUGGAGGGUCCUCUUUUUAUGUUGAGUUGCUGCUUCCCGGCAUGCCUUCAUUUUGCUAUGGGGGGCAGGCAGGGGGGAUGGAAAAUAAGUAGAAACAAAAAAGCAGUGGCUAAGAUGGUAUAGGGACUGUCAUACCAGUGAAGAAUAAAAGGGUGAAGAAUAAAAGGGAUAUGAUGACAAGGUUGAUCCACUUCAAGAAUUGCUUGCUUUCAGGAAGAGAGAUGUGUUUCAACAAGCCAACUAAAAUAUAUUGCUGCAAAUGGAAGCUUUUCUGUUCUAUUAUAAAACUGUCGAUGUAUUCUGACCAAGGUGCGACAAUCUCCUAAAGGAAUACACUGAAAGUUAAGGAGAAGAAUCAGUAAGUGUAAGGUGUACUUGGUAUUAUAAUGCAUAAUUGAUGUUUUCGUUAUGAAAACAUUUGGUGCCCAGAAGUCCAAAUUAUCAGUUUUAUUUGUAAGAGCUAUUGCUUUUGCAGCGGUUUUAUUUGUAAAAGCUGUUGAUUUCGAGUUGUAAGAGCUCAGCAUCCCAGGGGCAUCUUCUUGACUGUGGCAUUUCCUGUCCACCGCCGGUUUAUAUGAUCUUCAUACCUUUCCCUGGACCACAGGCGUUUCUCGGCUUUUAGUCUGAACCAUAGCUGGGCUGCAGUACCCUACGCUGCCAGCAGGUGGCCAUGACUACCCGUGGUACCAAUCUCAGUCUUAAAGCUCAGGCUUUUCGUUCAUUAACAUUCUCUGAUAGAAUUCUGGUCAUCAGAUGUACUGCAAUGGAACAAAACUCAUCUGGCUGCAUCCCAGGUGUGUAGCAAAGUCCACAUGUAAAUUUAUAGCUUAGAAUAUUCUUAAGUCACUGUCCCUUGUCUCUCUUUGAAGUUAUAAACAACAAACUUAAAGCUUAGCUUAUGUCCAAGGUAAGUAUUUUAGCAUGGCUGUCAAGGAAAUUCAGAGUAAAGUCAGUGUGAUUCACUUAAUGAUAUACAUUAAUUAGAAUUAUGGGGUCAGAGGUAUUUGCUUAAGUGAUCAUAAUUGUAAAGUAUAUGUCACAUUGUCACAUUAAUGUCACACUGUUUCAAAAGUUA